CUUCACCCACUCAAGUGUUGACACAUGGCAUAAAUAUGUUUAAAAAGACAAAAUGGGCUGAAAAAUGAGAGAAAGAAAUCAGAUUUCCAUUUCCUCUUCUUCCUUGCCGUAAACCAAUUUUCCCUAACCUCCAUGGACAAGCUUUUUCAAGCUUGAUUUUCCCUAGCUUCCACACCAUAAAAGCCCUAGUUGUCUUCACAAAAAAUUCACCCCACACCUUGAGGAAGCUUUGGGCAGCAAAAUCUUGAAGAAAAAUUAAAGUUUUGGUUGGCUUGGAUUUGAGCUAAAAGAGGUACUGGAGAUUUAGCUGGGGAGUCCAGCAGACCGCAUACUGGGUGAGCCAUCAUAUCUGCACUCAGAGUUCAGAGUCACCUCACAUUGCAGUGCAUUUGGUAGGACAUUAGGCCAUCUGGGAUAUUUUGAUAUUUUGUUAUUUUGUAUUUUGUAAACUUUUGUUAUGUACAUUAUAAACUCAUGUACUUAUAUUUUUGCUGUAAUUAUCUAUGAACUGUGUUCAGAAUUAAAUAUGAGUAUUUCUCAUUGAACUUGGUGAAUAUGAGUUGAAUGUAAAUUUUGGAAUACUGAAUUGAUUUGAGAAAUGAUUGAGAUUGAGAUUGUAAUUA